AAUACGGAGCCUGACCAUCCCAACCACACAGGUCGUAUGCAUCUUGGCAAUGCAGGUCCAAUUCUGGUCAGUCAAAGCUGUGCGCAGUACGGGUGUCAGGACCCGGGAGAGAGCGCGUAGUGGACCUGUACCACCAUGGAUGAAGCUCCUUCUUGUGUACCACCAAUAUAGCUAGGGUUAAGAAAAUUUUGGGGAAUCCCCCCUCCAACAAUGGGAAGGCACCGGAUCUCGAUUCUCUCUGGCGCACCGGAUCGGCGGAUCCCGGUUCACCGGCAAUGAAGCACUGGUGCCCAGCAUCCCAAUCACCUAGACCAGCGACGGCGCGACGGCGCCGCGCUAUGGCUGUGGGAACAUAGACGCAAAGCCCGGGAGUCGGCCAUCGUCCUUUGCAGCCCAAGUAUCUGAUGAUGAGUCUGGUAUUUGCGCAUCUUUAUUUUUGAAAAGUUUGGCGGUCAAGACAUGGAAUUAGCAGUCUGCAAGGAAAAUAUUAAUAAUCGCCGACAAAUGAUACUACACGAAGUAAUGAUGCUGCAAGGGAACUCAUCCAGUUUGGUCAAAGAUCACCUGCACGCUGCUAACAUCGAUGAACUUGCCAUGUCUGAUUAGGGCAAUUAUUAAAUCGUUUUCUUGAUCCCUUCACAAUGUGUUUGUUUCUUCUGAACUGCUAUAUGCAAACUCCAGAUUAUCUAGGGCACGUAAUCAGUUUUACCAGUCAACUGGUACUGCAGACAAUUUUAUUUCUUGAGUUCGAAGGCCCAGAGUACA